UACGGAGGGUGCGAGCGUUGUCCGGAAUUAUUGGGCGUAAAGAGCUCGUAGGCGGUUUGUUGCGUCUAUCGUGAAAACCUGCGGCUUAACUGUGGGCUUGCGGUGGAUACGGGCAGACUUGAGUUCGGUAGGGGAGACUGGAAUUCCUGGUGUAGCGGUGAAAUGCGCAGAUAUCAGGAGGAACACCGGUGGCGAAGGCGGGGCUCUGGGCCGAUACUGACGCUGAGGAGCGAAAGCGUGGGGAGCGAGCAGG
rnacentral:rRNA from 1 species